rnacentral:misc_RNA from 1 species
GGAAGUAAGAGUCGUAACAAGGUCUCCGUUGGUGAACCAGCGGAGGGAUCAUUACAGAGUUGCAAAACUCCCAAACCAUUGUGAACGUUACCUAUCCCGUUGCUUCGGCGGGCGGCCCGGGCCCCGCGCCCGGCGCCCCCCGGCCCCCCGUGGGCGCCCGCCGGAGGUAAACCAAACCCUUGAAUUGCAUGGCCUCUCUGAGUCUUCUGUACUGAAUAAGUCAAAACUUUCAACAACGGAUCUCUUGGUUCUG